AACCAGUAGAGUACUACGUAGCAGCUCUGUGUCAAAGUUAUAAAAGCAUCGAGCGUCUCGGCCACGCCUUGUGGCGAGUUGGGAGUUGGAUUUGCAAGCGAGUGUAGGAGGUUAGCCGUAGUUCAGCAUUAGCAUAUAGCAUUAGCAUAUCCUAGUCUUUAGCGUAGCUUUUAGUGUUAUACAUAUUUAGUGUUAGUUUGGCUGUUGGAUAUUGUAGUUUAGUUGGUGUUUGGCUGUUAGUGUAAUUAGGAAAGUAGUUCAGGUUUAGUGCUCCAUAUUGUGUUAGUAUGGUGAGAAGGUGCAGUGUAGUGUGGUUGCAGUGGCUCUGUGGGGUUGCACUCCUUUCCACUGGUCUUAGAAAUUAGGCGCCAGUGGUUGCGCGCAAUCGGUGUCUGGAAAACAUUCAGCUCCCGCCUGGUGCUGUAGUUUGCAACCAGCAUUUUACCCGCGAUUCUGCAUGUCUCCGUUUGAAGAGGGAGGCCGUGCCCACCGUGGCUCUUCCGCGAUUUAGAUGCAGCCCAUUGUCUCUGCUCCCCCACCAUGGCGGGCUCCAGUCUGAGGUGAGUAAGCUAAAUAAAAGUUUUAACAUCUUCUAAAGACAAUUCCCUACCUAAAUGCAAAGUUUGAGAGACGUGGUUCACUCCAUUUAGCUAAUAUCAGCCUGCGCUGCCUUUGGGCAGAUUUGUCAAGUUCACAAAAUGUGGAACGGGAUGUAAGGUUAGAAUCAGCGGCGAAUCGGAACAUAUCUCGAAGCCCUGGCCGACAAAACGGUCCACAUGACUGUUACUGUCAGGCUCAGAGAAAAUUCGGGUUGCUUUUGUGUCAGUCGGUAAUUCUGCAACAGUGGCUCUAACUAACAGCACUAGUUGACAGACAGCAUUACAGCGUGAAAUCCAGCUUGUGACCUGGUUCCGUGAGGAAUUCUGUUCAGGAGGUCGCAUUUCAUGCUCUCCACAUGUGACUGAAUUUUACGUUAUAAUAACAUCACACACUAGGAAUGUUAUAAAGCGCCUAUAUAGGACAGUUUCUUUUGUAUUUUAUCUGACUUUAUAAACUCCAACAAUAAAGUGCUUCUAUUUUUUUUCAGGCUAAAUCAACCCAAGACACUGACUGUCAGAAUGCACUUGUCCAGGCUGACGUGAAGCCUUACCCGUAGCAAAGGUGAAUUAUUUUAAUAAUCUUCUAUGUAAACAUUUUAUUAUCACCUUCUAGUUUUAAUUUGUUUUACAGAUUAUUGUUACACGUGAUUUUAUGUUCUUUUAAACAUUUAUAAAUGUGCUGUUUCUUUGUUUUUUACAUAGCCAGCCAGAAUAGAGCUCACAGCCGCAGUGUGUCUUGUAACACGGGGAUCAUGACGGAAAUUAAUCUUCCAGAAAGUCCCAGAGCAGCGUCCAUACCCCUGAAAAGACCAAGAUGUGAGGUGUCUGCUGUUGAUUCCAGCUUCCACCUCAGUGACAGUGCAAGCUCAGUGAACUGUUCAAGGUAAAAAAAAAAAAUUAAAACAUUUCAGAAUUUUUAAGAUAUUAACAAUUAAAUAAGUAUGUGAUUACAUCAUGACAUCAUGAAGGAGGCUACUGAUUCUGGCCCUGUGACACUUGGUGGUGACGUGUGAGCUGAUUCACCUGGACACUCAGCAAAAUAUGGACUCUACACCAUGAGGCAGGCACACGUUAAUACUCUAUAAGAGCACAUAAGCAUGAGGAUGUCCUCACACACCUGUAACCUAUCAGCUCAUCUGGCAGAAUAGAGAAGAGACAACACCACAUCUCCUGUUCCUGGAAAGCCUUCAGCCAUCCUUCGAUGACUGAGAACCUCCAUCAGCUCUGUCUCCUGUCUGCCUACAAUUAUUAUAAUAAAUAUUGGUUUUGACAAGUUUUUUGUGCUGCCAAAUAUCUCAUUUUGAUUCCAGUUUUGAUAUUUUAAUGGGUAUUUAUAAAUUACAUUAAUUGAAUUAUCACAUUGUUGCAUGUUUAACUAGCUCUAUUGUGAUGAAUUAAACUAGCACCUCACUGUUAAAAGCUCAUUUUAAUUUCAAGCAUGUUUAAGUAUUUAUGGACAUGAACAAAAGCAGGAAAUAUAUAAAUUGAGAUUUAUUUAAUUAAUAUGACAAAUAAGGGGGAAAGAGUCAUUGAAAGGCACAUUCUUCUGGAAGCUCCUGAUCCUGACGACACCAGCAGAGACCACCUGCAGACACCAGAGGAUCACCUACAACCAAGAGAGCAGUUAGUAUCAGUAAAUAAAUAAUGAAAUCAGGGAAGUUUUAGUGGGCUGAACACAUUACAGAAUAAUUUUCUCAUGGGGUAUUUUCAUAACUUUCUAUGCAGCAGACUGUAACUUGAGCCCAGGGCUCCUGGAGAGCUGCUAUCCAGCACGUUUCAGUGGUUUUCCUGCUUUAAUGGGUUAGAUUAGCUGUUAAGCAGCUCAGCUAUUUGUUGCUGAUUAAAACCAGGUGUGUUGAAGCAGAUAAAUCUCUAAAACAUGCUGAAUACUAGCUCUCUAGGGCCGUGGAGCCAAACCCUGCAGCUAAUCUGAUGCUAUGGCUAACGGCUACUUACCAUUCAGAGCUGGUUCUGUUGGGUCGGUUCCGGUAAUUUCAGGCAACUCACAAGCUCAAAACAAUAAGGCUCAGGUCCGCUUGUCUCCUCCAAAUAGACUUGGUCCCUUUCUUCUCGAGUGUCUGGGUACGGAGGGGGAGAAACGUCCUCCACUUCUAAUAACUGCUCAGAGUGAAGGGAGCUAGCAUCGUCUAGUUAGCCAUCGUCUUCGUCACUGCCGCGGCUCCGCCCUCUCGGUCCUCCAGGCAACGCCU